rnacentral:rRNA from 1 species
UACGUAGGGGGGCAAGCGUUGUCCGGAAUUAUUGGGCGUAAAGAGCGCGUAGGCGGUCUGAUAAGUCGGUUGUGAAAGUCGGGGGCUCAACCCUCGGAUGCCGAUCGAUACUGUCAGGCUAGAGUCCGGAAGAGGCGAGUGGAAUUCCUGGUGUAGCGGUGAAAUGCGUAGAUAUCUGGAGGAACACCGGUGGCGAAGGCGGCAUCCUGGACCGGUAUUGACGCUGAUGCGCGAAAGCCAGGGGAGCAAACGGG